GCCGGGCGUGGUGGCACACACCUGUAGUCCCAGCUACUCCGGAGGCUGAGGCAGGAGAAUCGCUUGAACCCGGGAGGCGGAGGUUGUGGUGAGCCGGGAUCGCACCACUGCAUUCCAGCCUGGUGACAGAGUGAGACUCCUUCUCAAAAAAAAAAAAAAGUAUACCUAAAACUCUGUCACCAGGCUGGAAUGCAGUGGUGCGAUCUCGGCUCACCACAACCUCCGUCUCCCGGGUUCAAGCGAUUCUCCUGCCUCAG
rnacentral:SRP_RNA from 1 species